UGGUGACUAUAGCCCGGGUGAUACACCUCUUCCCAUUCCGAACAGAGAAGUUAAGACCCGGUACGCCGAUGGUACUGCAUGCGCAGGUGUGUGGGAGAGUAGGUAGUCGCCAG
rnacentral:rRNA from 1 species